UGAACGCUAGCGGCAAGCCUAACACAUGCAAGUCGAACGGUAACUUUUGGUGCUUGCACCGAAAGACGAGUGGCGAACGGGUGCGUAACGCGUAUGCAAUCUGCCUUUUACUAGGGUAUAGCCCAGAGAAAUUUGGAUUAAUCCCCUAUAACAUCAUUUAUUCGCAUGAUUAAAUGAUUAAAGCUUCGGCGGUAAAAGAUGAGCAUGCGUCCUAUUAGUUUGUAGGUGAGGUAACGGCUCACCUAGACUACGAUAGGUAGGGGCCCUGAGAGGGGGACCCCCCACACUGGUACUGAGACACGGACCAGACUCCUACGGGAGGCAGCAGUGAGGAAUAUUGGACAAUGGACGAAAGUCUGAUCCAGCUAUGCCGCGUGCAGGAUGACGGCCCUACGGGUUGUAAACUGCUUUUAUACAGGAAGAAACACCCCGACGUGUCGGGGCUUGACGGUACUGUAAGAAUAAGGAUCGGC
rnacentral:rRNA from 1 species